CUACGGGUUGCUGCAGUGAGGAAUAUUGCGCAAUGGACGAAAGUCUGACGCAGCGAUGCCGCGUGAACGACGAAGCUUUUAGGAGUGUAAAGUUCUUUUCUGUGGGACGAGUAUCUACUUCGGUAGAGGGGACGGUACUACAGGAAUAAGCACCGGCUAACUCCGUGCCAGCAGCCGCGGUAAUACGGAGGGUGCAAGCGUUGUCCGGAUUUACUGGGCGUAAAGGGCGUGUAGGCGGAACGAUCAGUCGGAGGUGAAAUCUACGGGCUUAACCUGUAAAGUGCCUUCGAUACUGUCGUUCUUGAGUGCAGGAGGGGGUAGUGGAAUUCCCGGUGUAGCGGUGGAAUGCGCAGAUAUCGGGAGGAACACCGGUGGCGAAGGCGGCUACCUGGCCUGACACUGACGCUGAGGCGCGAAAGCGUGGGUAGCAAACAGGAUUAGAUACCCGCGUAGUC
rnacentral:rRNA from 1 species